CUCACCAUUUUAUAAAUUACCAAACUUAUCAGAAGUUUUAUUUUACACCGAAAAUUCGUAAAGCUUUUAGCUACACCGAACCCACCAAACCAAUGCUGCCGUUUGACAGCCGCUGCCUGCUGUCUGCACAGCUAAACCAACGCUUGAACCAACCUUUCUGAUUUCAAAAUCCGGAACUAAUAUGAGCUUGCCGUGAUCGGUGCUACCAAAUAAGUUACCAAGUUUCUUCUUCUUCUGAGUUUCUCGCACAGGAACUUCUACUCCCCUAUCAGUUACUCUUGGGGCAUUGUUUACUUCUUGCCACGUGUAAGACCAUUCAACCUAGUUUCAAAGUAAAGAAAACAAAGAAUCAAUUAGUAGGAUACAGCAGUACAACUGAAAUAUGAAAACUUUUCAACGAGUUUAUCACACUAACCUGCCAUCCACCAAAUAGAUCACUAAGUUUAAGAAAGGCUAUACGUUUGUCAGUAAGAAGAACCACAUCCUUGUUUACUUCAAUAUGAAAGACAUAAAUGUCGGUAUUGGCAUACUUUCCUUUCUCCAAUUC